GGCUACGGCCAUGCUGCCCUGAACACACCCGAUCUCAUCUGAUCUCGGAAACUAAGCAGGGUCAGGCCUGGUUAGUACUUGGAUGGGAGAACACUUAGGAAGACCAGGUGCUGUAGGCU
rnacentral:rRNA from 1 species